CAGGUUGAGUUACCGGCGCUCACCUGUCGCUCUCCUCGCGCUAGCUGCCUGAACCGGAGCUGUCGUCCGUCCGUGAUACACUACAACAACAGCGAGGACAGAACAAGCAAACACAUUUACAUACCACUUUGUUUUAAUACCGCAACUUCCGAUCCCCUCUGGCGUCAACAUAGGAGGUUAGAGUCACGUCGUUAUUAUCCACCUCUUGCGGAGCAAAGUGGAUUCAUACAGACGUUUGAAGUCACACUUAUUGGUUGUUGCAGUGAAAUAAUGGCACCUUGAUGUUCGGGUCCAGUCAGUGUUUUGGAGAGAAAAGAAAGGCAACACACGUUUUGUUCGUCAUCAAUAGAAGAGAGAGAGAGAGAGAGCGGUGAGAUUCAGCGCUGACUUGGUGGAUGUCUUAGACCAUGAGUAUCCUGGGACCUCCGAUGAGGCAGGCCAAUGGGCUGGCCAGAGCUGACAGCAAGAUGAGCGCCAAGGCUCUAUACGGUAAGAAAUGGACGGGAGCAUGUGUGUGUGUGUG